rnacentral:rRNA from 1 species
UCGAGCGGUAAGGCCCUUCGGGGUACACGAGCGGCGAACGGGUGAGUAACACGUGAGCAACCUGCCCCUGACUCUGGGAUAAGCGGUGGAAACGCCGUCUAAUACCGGAUACGACCCGCCACCUCAUGGUGGAGGGUGGAAAGUUUUUCGGUCAGGGAUGGGCUCGCGGCCUAUCAGCUUGUUGGUGGGGUAACGGCCUACCAAGGCGAUUACGGGUAGCCGGCCUGAGAGGGCGACCGGCCACACUGGGACUGAGACACGGCCCAGACUCCUGCGGGAGGCAGCAGUGGGGAAUAUUGCGCAAUGGGCGAAAGCCUGACGCAGCGACGCCGCGUGGGGGAUGACGGCCUUCGGGUUGUAAACCUCUUUUACCACCAACGCAGGCUCCCAGUUCUCUGGGGGUUGACGGUAGGUGGGGAAUAAGGACCGGCUAACUACGUGCCAGCAGCCGCGGUAAUACGUAGGGUCCGAGCGUUGUCCGGAAUUAUUGGGCGUAAAGAGCUCGUAGGCGGCGUGUCACGUCUGCUGUGAAAGACCGGGGCUUAACUCCGGUUCUGCAGUGGAUACGGGCAUGCUAGAGGUAGGUAGGGGAGACUGGAAUUCCUGGUGUAGCGGUGAAAUGCGCAGAUAUCAGGAGGAACACCGGUGGCGAAGGCGGGUCUCUGGGCCUUACCUGACGCUGAGGAGCGAAAGCAUGGGGAGCGAACAGGAUUAGAUACCCUGGUAGUCCAUGCCGUAAACGUUGGGCGCUAGGUGUGGGGACUUUCCACGGUUUCCGCGCCGUAGCUAACGCAUUAAGCGCCCCGCCUGGGGAGUACGGCCGCAAGGCUAAAACUCAAAGGAAUUGACGGGGGGCCCGCACAAGCGGCGGAGCAUGUUGCUUAAUUCGACGCAACGCGAAGAACCUUACCAAGGUUUGACAUCACCCGUGGACUCGCAGAGAUGUGAGGUCAUUUAGUUGGCGGGUGACAGGUGGUGCAUGGCUGUCGUCAGCUCGUGUCGUGAGAUGUUGGGUUAAGUCCCGCAACGAGCGCAACCCUUGUUCCAUGUUGCCAGCACGUAAUGGUGGGGACUCAUGGGAGACUGCCGGGGUCAACUCGGAGGAAGGUGGGGAUGACGUCAAGUCAUCAUGCCCCUUAUGUCUUGGGCUGCAAACAUGCUACAAUGGCCGGUACAAUGGGCGUGCGAUACCGUAAGGUGGAGCGAAUCCCUAAAAGCCGGUCUCAGUUCGGAUUGGGGUCUGCAACUCGACCCCAUGAAGGUGGAGUCGCUAGUAAUCGCGGAUCAGCAACGCCGCGGUGAAUACGUUCCCGGGCCUUGUACACACCGCCCGUCACGUCAUGAAAGUCGGCAACACCCGAAACUUGCGGCCUAACCCCUUGUGGGAGGGAG